GAGGAAAGCAAUGAAAAAAUUGAGAGAC
rnacentral:sRNA from 1 species